ACGCGUGGAACCCUACCAGGUCUUGACAUCCCAUUGACCGCUAUGGAGACAUAGCUUUCCCUUUUAGGGACAGUGGUGACAGGUGGUGCAUGGUUGUCGUCAGCUCGUGUCGUGAGAUGUUGGGUUAAGUCCCGCAACGAGCGCAACCCUUGUUCUUAGUUGCCAUCAUUUAGUUGGGCACUCUAAGGAGACUGCCGGUGACAAACCGGAGGAAGGUGGGGAUGACGUCAAAUCAUCAUGCCCCUUAUGACCUGGGCUACACACGUGCUACAAUGGACGGUACAAACGGUUGCCAACCCGCGAGGGGGAGCUAAUCCGAUAAAACCGUUCUCAGUUCGGAUUGUAGGCUGCAACUCGCCUACAUGAAGCCGGAAUCGCUAGUAAUCGCGGAUCAGCAUGCCGCGGUGAAUACGUUCCCGGGCCUGUACACACCGCCCGU
rnacentral:rRNA from 1 species